CUACAGGGGACCAGGAAGGGCGGCGGCCUGGAGCAUGGUUCUAGCAGGCCUCUCCAGCAUUCUCCAGUCCCAGGCAGCAGGAACUUUUCCAUCUGGAAGAUGAUAAACAGUGAGACCUGCCAUUGACUAUUUGGGCCCUAGAAGCGGUUGACUAUUCUCCAUUCUACAAUGGAAAAUAGGUUAAGGCAGUUAAGGUGGUGGGAAUUGACUUGUGGAUUCAUCACACUCGGCUGAAGCCUUGGACACCUCCUGAGGAAAGUCAGAGACCCUCUGCUCUGCAGCCUGAAGAUCCAGGAGACAACCCUUCAUCCACCUGCAAGCCCUUAGAGGAUCUACCUCUGCUUUUCCAACAAGAUCCUCAGGGAAGUAACCACGCAUCAGUCUAAUUUAUAUCCUGGCAUUAACAGGACUAUAACCCUCAACCUUGAUAUCUCUCGAACUCUGAGCAUCCUUUUCAUAGUGGGAAGGGAACCUGCCUCUUUCUAGGAAAAAUGCUGCUAUUUUGUAAACCAGUUAAGUAUUGUUUUAAACAUAGAACUCAGGAAUCAAUCAAACACAGGGCUAAAAAUCUUCCAAACACAGUACUGUAAAGCUUAACAACUGACUGUCCUGGCUCUGCUCUCCUAGUCUCGUUUAUAACCAGUCUAUAUUUGCUGGCCUCUGGGCUUUUCAUCUUUAACCACCUUGUCACGUUCAUUUCCUAUAGAACCAUAAGGUCACGAAUAAUCCUGCCACUGGAACCCAGGAUGUCUUUGGCUCAUGAGCUCUAUCAUGGACCUCAGGAUCAGCCUGCACCCCUGAAAGGCUCCCCUCUGGAGGAAACCUCAACUGCAGGGCCCCUUCUACACCCUAUUUCAGCAGGAAGUAGUUAAAGAGGAUCGACACCCAUGUUCCAACAGAAGUUGGGAUUUCCUGUUCAGAUGGGGGCGCAGGAAGAAGCUAAGAGUCAAUCACCCCAGCAGAAGUUCUAAGGAACUCCUUUCAUUGGCCCGGGGUCUUAGAGAAGGGACCUUGCUGAAAAUUGCCUACCUGAAUUUCCUGCCAGUGCUCUUGCCCUGCCUAUUGGAACACCCUAAACCCAGGCUGAUCCUCUUUGGAUUUGACUGCUGGACUGUACCACCUCCUAUUGACUAUUGUCACACCUCCAGGACCAGACUUCCUCCCUGCAUCUGCAUUUGGGUCUAUUCUUCCAGAGAUCAAUUUCACCCCAAGGUUGGUUUGCAUUCUAGAUCUGGGAUCUAGGCACCCCCCAGGCUACUCCAAUCAGUAGUUGUUAAUAACAGUUGGAGCCAGACUUUUCAUGUUCUCAUCCUUGUUCUGCCACUGCUACAGUUUGGAUGUGGUUUGUUUGUCCCCACCAAAACUCAUGUUGAAAUUUCAUGCCUAAUGAGAAGGUACUUGGGGGUGGGCCUAGAGGAAGGUGUUUGAAGGAAAAUUCCUCAAGUGGCUCCGCUCUGUUUUGCAGGAGUGAGCAAGGGACAUGCCUCAGGGCCAUGCCCUUGAACUUCUCAGCCACAGAACCAUUACCUAAAUAAACCUCUUUUCUUAAAAAUUACCCA
rnacentral:lncRNA from 13 species